UCCAAUGGCGUAUAUUAAAGUUGUUGCAGUUAAAAAGCUCGUAGCUGAAUUUCGGGGUUAGUAGGUUGGUCAUGCCUCUGGUAUGUACUGAUCUCACCGAUUCCUCCUUCCUGAUGAACCGUGAUGCCAUUAAUUUGGUGUUGCGGGGAAUUUGGACUGCUACUUUGAAAAAAUUAGAGUGUUUAAAGCAAGCUAACGCUUGAAUACAUUAGCAUGGAAUAAUGAAAUAGGACGUUCGAUCCUAUUUUGUUGGUUUCUAGGAUUGACGUAAUGAUUAAUAGGGAUAGUUGGGGGCAUUAGUAUUCAAUUGUCAGAGGUGAAAUUCUUGGAUUUAUUGAAGACUAACUACUGCGAAAGCAUUUGCCAAGGAUGUUUUCAUUAAUCAAGAACGAAAGUUAGGGGAUCGAAGACGAUCAGAUACCGUCGUAGUCUUAACCAUAAACUAUGCCGACUAGGGAUCGGAUGAUGUUAAUUUUUUAAUGGCUCAUUCGGCGCCUUACGGGAAAC
rnacentral:rRNA from 1 species